GACAUAUGCUUUAUUUUUAUGGAGUGUGGGUUUAGUAAUGGGGUUUGUGGGGUUUUCUUCUAAGCCUUCUCCUAUUUAUGGGGGUUUAGUGUUGAUUGUUAGUGGUGUGGUUGGGUGUGUUAUUAUUUUAAAUUAUGGGGGAGGUUAUAUAGGUUUAAUGGUUUUUUAAAAUUUAUUUAGGGGGUAUAAUGGUCGUUUUUGGGUAUACUAUGGCGAUAGCUAUUGAGGAGUACCCUGAGGCAUGGGGGUCAGGGAUUGAGGUCUUGGUAAGUGUAUUAGUGGGGUUAGCGAUGGAGGUAGGGUUAGUGUUAUGGGUGAAAGAGUAUGAUGGGGUGGUGAUUGUGGUAAAUUUUAAUAGUGUGGGAAGUUGAAUGAUUUAUGAAGGAGAGGGGCCAGGGUUGAUCCGGGAAGAUCCUAUUGGUGCUGGGGCUUUGUAUGAUUAUGGGCGUUGAUUGGUGGUAGUUACUGGUUGAACGUUAUUUGUUGGUGUGUAUAUUGUAAUUGAGAUUGCUCGGGGUAAU
rnacentral:lncRNA from 1 species